CGGAAAUGCACUGAUUGAAUUGAAUUAGUUCAGUGGUAGCGCCGACAAGUUCUGCGGGAAAAUUACCUAAUUUUCGGGUGAUUACCGAUUUAAUAAGUAGGUUACUGAGUAAUAUUUGAAGCGAUCGAAAAGUAGGUUGAUCUAUUUUGCAUCAUAUAAAUAAGGGGGUUCAGUGCAUCGGUUCAGUUGCAUAAAAUGAAGCUCGUUAAGUUGUUUGUCGUGCUGGCGGUCGUUGUCGCCUGCUUUCGGGGGUGUGGGGCGGUGCCGGUUGGCAAUCCUGAAACGGCGAUUGAACUUAUGGCGCAGAUCCCGCAGUGGCACUGCAUGAGAUACAGGAAGUUCGAGCUCGUGAGGCGAUGUCGAGGCUACAAGAACAGUUUAAGACGGCUUUGAUUCAUUAAUUUAUUUAUUACAUCCUUUUUUAUAAAUGUAGGUUUAGUGUGUUUAAUAAAACUUUCGCUGAGA